rnacentral:rRNA from 1 species
UUCGGGAUCUUGAGAGCGGCGUACGGGUGCGGAACACGUGUGCAACCUGCCUUUAUCUGGGGGAUAGCCUUUCGAAAGGAAGAUUAAUACCCCAUAAUAUAUUGAAUGGCAUCAUUUGAUAUUGAAAACUCCGGUGGAUAGAGAUGGGCACGCGCAAGAUUAGAUAGUUGGUGAGGUAACGGCUCACCAAGUCAGCGAUCUUUAGGGGGCCUGAGAGGGUGAUCCCCCACACUGGUACUGAGACACGGACCAGACUCCUACGGGAGGCAGCAGUGAGGAAUAUUGGACAAUGGGUGAGAGCCUGAUCCAGCCAUCCCGCGUGAAGGACGACGGCCCUAUGGGUUGUAAACUUCUUUUGUAUAGGGAUAAACCUACCCUCGUGAGGGUAGCUGAAGGUACUAUACGAAUAAGCACCGGCUAACUCCGUGCCAGCAGCCGCGGUAAUACGGAGGGUGCAAGCGUUAUCCGGAUUUAUUGGGUUUAAAGGGUCCGUAGGCUGAUUUGUAAGUCAGUGGUGAAAUCUCACAGCUUAACUGUGAAACUGCCAUUGAUACUGCAAGUCUUGAGUGUUGUUGAAGUAGCUGGAAUAAGUAGUGUAGCGGUGAAAUGCAUAGAUAUUACUUAGAACACCAAUUGCGAAGGCAGGUUACUAAGCAACAACUGACGCUGAUGGACGAAAGCGUGGGGAGCGAACAGGAUUAGAUACCCUGGUAGUCCACGCCGUAAACGAUGCUAACUCGUUUUUGGGCUUUUGGGUUCAGAGACUAAGCGAAAGUGAUAAGUUAGCCACCUGGGGAGUACGAACGCAAG